rnacentral:ncRNA from 1 species
AUAAAGUUUUAUUUUAGCUUAAAAAUUUAUUAUUAAAUUAUUUUAUAUGUAAAUUUUUGUGAGAAUUUAUAUUUAUUUUAAAAAUAAUUAUAAUUUUUUUAUUCGCAGUAAUUAAUUUUAUUAUUUAAAGAAAUUUAGAAAUAGUAAUUUUAUAGAGUAUUGGUUAAAUUUGUGCCAGCAUCCGCGGUUAUACAAAUAAUACAAGUAAAUUUAUAUUAGUAAUAAUUAAAUUGUAUAUAAUUUAUAUAAAAUUAAAUUUAUUAGGUGAAAUUUAUAAAUUUAAGAAUUAUUUUAAUUUAUUUUAUUGAAGUUAAGAAAUUUUAAAUAAAAACUAGGAUUAGAUACCCUAUUAUUUAAAAUUUAAUUUUAAAAACUUAGGUAGUAAUAGUUAUGAUCUUGAAACUUAAAAAAUUUGGCGGUAUUUUAGUCUAUUCAGAGGAACCUGUUUUAUAAUCGAUAAUCCACGUUGGACCUUACUUAAAUUAGUUAAUCAAUUUAUAUACCGUUGUUAUAAGAAUAUUUUAUAAAAAUAAUAAUUUUCUAGAAUUUUAAUUGAAUUUAUAUCAAAUCAAGGUGUAGUUUAUGUUUAAGUAAAAAUGGGUUACAUUUUUAUUAUAAUUGGAUUUAAAAAUGAAAAAUUUAUUGAAAUUGGAUUUGAAUGUAAAAUUAUAAAGAUAAAUAAUUUGAUUUUAGCUCUAAAAUAUGUACAUAUCGCCCGUCGCUCUUAUUAUUAAAAUAAGAUAAGUCGUAACAUAGUAGAUGUACUGGAAAGUGUAUCUAGAAUGA